UUUUAUCAUUUGGCAGAUAAUUUUAUUUAUUUUCUCCCUUUGAAUUACACACUGAUAAAGUACUUUUUACAAUAUGUUUACAUAUAAUUCACAUUCUAUGACACUCGAAUUUUUGGGGUAGGCAAUCUUGGUGAUUCAUUAGGCAUAGGCUACUUGGGUUCUGACAGUGAACAAACAAUUUUGUUGGCUUUUAUAUUACUCAACUGUUGCCAUUUUGCUGCCUUUGAUUCCUAUGGCAUUGGUGUUGCUGGUCGAAGUGGGUACUUGUCUGCUGAAUAAUUGUGUUGUUUGGCGUUUGUUAGGCACGUACUCAUUGAAAG